rnacentral:pre_miRNA from 1 species
GGGGGGAGCCCCGGAUCUUGGGCUGUGUCCUCGGCACCUUGUGCUCCCGGGCCUGUGCUGCUGGAAUUGUGCUCCCGGCUGCACAGCUCCCU